ACGGGGGUUGCAAGCGUUGUCCGGAAUUACUAGGCGUAAAGGGCAGGCAGGCGGUUUCAUCAGCUUUUUGUUAAAGGCCACGGCUCAACUGUUGUACGGCUGGCUGAACUGUGGAACUAGGAUGCGGGUGGGGACAGCAGAAUUCCUGGUGUAGCGGUGGAAUGCGCAAAUAUCAGGAGGAACACCGAAAGCGAAAGCAGCCUCCUAAAACGUCAUUGACGCUAAGGUGCGAAAGUUAGGGGAUCAAACAG
rnacentral:rRNA from 1 species